UACGUAGGGUGCGAGCGUUGUCCGGAAUUAUUGGGCGUAAAGAGCGUGUAGGCGGCCUGGUAGGUCAGCUGUGAAAACUCGAGGCUCAACCUCGAGACGCCGGUUGAAACCAUCAGGCUAGAGUCCGGAAGAGGAGAGUGGAAUUCCAGGUGUAGCGGUGAAAUGCGCAGAUAUCUGGAAGAACACCCGUGGCUAAGGCGGCUCUCUAGUACGGUACUGACGCUGAGACGCGAAAGCGUGGGGAGCGAACAGG
rnacentral:rRNA from 1 species